UGUCUACAUCUUUAACAUGCUCUUGUCUGAUUAUAUUCCAAAUCUUAUGAAGUUAGUUCCCUAAAGUACCUAGAAAAACUCCAAUACCAAAAAUAUAUUUUGCAUAUCUAAGUCCCUCUUCCCAAAUUCCUGAUUGAUCUAGUCACCUAGCAAGCUCUAUGAAGGAACUGAAAACAACAAAUUUUGCUUUCAUAACAGGAAUAAAGAAAAGGACUGUUUGCUGCACGAUCUCUUGAUAUCACGGAACAAUUCUUCCAACACUACAAAGUGAAAUCUCAUAAAGAAAUGGGUACCCGAAGCCACAGUUUCUUACCUUCUAUUUGGUUGUGCACACUGUGACCACCAUUUCAUUUUAACCAGGUUUAACGCAAAGCUUCUUUGAAGAUGUUCCCAUUUCCACCAACUCACUUCAACCUCAAUGCCCUGGCAUUACCCUACACUGGGGAAACAAGUCUUCACUGGAUUAAAGGAUUUUAAUUCCAA